UUUAACUCAUUUAAGACGUUAAGUCAGAGGCACGGCGGCUGCCAGGGCUUGUUUGAUGGGGCCUGCGGCGGGCCCCCCCCCCGGGGGAGAGGGGCGCCGCCGAGGCAACGUUGUAUACGGUUCACGGGGUCGAAAGAGCCGGUGGGGCACUCUUCAAUGAUCCCUCCGCUGGUUCACCAACGGAGA
rnacentral:misc_RNA from 1 species